CUUCUAUUUGGUCUAUUUGUAUUAAAAUAACUGUGGAAUGAGAUAGGGCUGGUUCACAAUGUAAAGUCCUAAUUUGGGGAAAGGAUAUUUUUUAAGGCAUUGCAAAGGAACUCAAUGCAAAAGUUGAAGCAAAAACAAAUUGCUGAAGGAACUCAGCGGGUCAGGCAUCAUUUAUGGAGGGAGUGGGCAUAUGAUAUUUCAGGUUGAGAACUUUUUCUUUAAAAACGAGAUGUAGAGAUUCAGGGUCAUCAACCUCCCCUUAAAUUACUGUGAAAGACUGGCAGAAUUAGGGAUCCUGCCAUGUGAUGUAUGUUGCGGAAAAGAAGGAAGUAUAUAUUAGGUACAGGCAGCUGGGAUCAAGCAAAUCCGUUGAGAAGUACAAGGGAUGUUGGAAUAACAAAGAAAUUAGGAGGCAGGGAAAACACGUGCGAACAAAAAGAGCACAUGUGAUAUCCAAAUGAGAUAUUUAAAGGAGAAUCCAAAAAGAGAUUCUAUAAGUAUGGAUUAACACAGGGUGGGCCCUUGGAUUAAAAUUGGAGCAGUUUUCUUGCAGGAAAUGGAAUGCCGGAAAAGCAGGAUGUUUUUAAAAGUGUACUAACAAGAGUUCAUGGUAUGCAUGUUCCUGUUUGAGUAAAGACCAAGCCAGGUCAUCCAGGCAUAAGGAAACCUGGAUGACAAGAAAAAUUGAGGCUCUAGUCAAGAAUAAGAAGGAGACAUGGGAUAGAUAUAGGCAGCUGGGAUUAAGAGUAUCCCUGGGGGAGUUUUAGGAACUGAGAAGCAUGCUAAAGGAAAUCUAGAGGGCAAAAGGGAGGCAGUAGAUAGCUCUGACAGAUAAUAUUAAGGAUAAUCCCAAGAGAUUUUAUAAGUACAUUAAGGGGAAAAAAGGUAACCAGAGAGAGAGGUUGACCACUCAGGAUUCAAAGUGUUUAACUUUGUGUGGAGCCACAGGAAAUGAGCAAUAACCUCAAUGAAAUUUCUCCUCUCGUUUCACUGUGGAGAAAGACAUGAGCACUGGUAAACUUAGGGCAGUCAAUGGAAAUUUAUGUUCAAAGGAGCAGAAUUAGGCCAUUCGGUACAUCACGUCUAGUCUGCCAUUCAAUCAGGACUUAUCUAUCUUUUUCUCUCAACCCCAUUCUCCUGCCUUUUCCCCAUAAAUCCUGCCACUCGAACGAAUCAAGAAUCUAUUAAUCUGCCUUAAAAAUAUCCACCGAGGGCCUCCGCAGCCUUUUGUGCCAAUGAAUUCCACAUAUUCACCACUCUUUGACGACCAAAAUUCCUCCUCAUCUCCUGUCUAAAGGUACGACCUUUUAUUCUGAGCCUAUGGCCUCUGGUGCUAAAUUCCCCAAUAGUGGAAACAUCCUCUCCACAUUCAGUCUACCACGCCUUUCACUGUUCGGUAAGCUUCAAUGAAGUCCUCCUCUCAUCCUUCUAAUCUCCAAUGAGUACUGGCCCAAUGCCGUCAGAUGCUCAUCAUACGUUAACGCAGUGGUUCCUGGGAUCACUCCCAUAAACCAUCUCUGGACCCUCUCCAGCACCAGCACACCCUUCCUCAGAUAUGGGGUUCAAAACUGCUCAUAAUACUCCAAGUGCAGUCUGUUCAGUGACAUACAGUAACGCCUAAGAAUUACAUCCCUGUUUUUAUAUGCUAGUCCUCUCGUAAUAAAUGUUAGCAUUCCAUUUGCUUUCUUUACUACCGAUUCGACUUGUAAAUAAAUUUUUUGUGGAUCCUGCACCACAUUAUCCACAUUAAACUUCAUUUGCCAUGCAUAGAAACAUAGAAAAUAGGUGCAGGAGGAGGCCAUUCGGCCCUUCGAACCAUUCAUUGUGAUCGUCCCCCUAUCAAUAACCUGUGCCUGCCUUUUCCACAUAUCCCUUGACUCCAUUAGCCCCUAGAGCUCUAUCUAACUCUCUCUUAAAUCCAUCCAGUGACUUGGUCUCCACUGCCCUGUGUGGCAGGGAAUUCCAUCAAUUCACAACACUCUGGGUGAAAAAGUUUUUUCUCACCUCAGUCUUAAAUGACCUCCCGUUUAUUCUAAGACUGUGGCCCCUAGUUCUGGACUCGCCCAACAUUGGGAACAUUUUUUCCUGCAUCUAGCUUGUCCAGUCCUUUUAUAAUUUUGUAUGUUUCUAUAAGAUCCCCCUCAUCCUUCUAAACUUCAGUGAAUACAAGCCUAGUCUUUUCAAUUUUUCCUCAUACGACAGUCCCGCCAUCCCAGGGAUCAAUCUCGGGAACCUACGCUGCACUACCUCAAUCACAAGGAUGUCCUUCCUCAAAUUAGGAGACCAAAACUGUACACAAUACUCCAGAUGUGGUCUCACCAGAGCCCUAUACAAAUGCAGAAGAAACUUUUUACUCCUAUACUGAAAUCCUCUUGUUAUGAAGACCAACAUUCCAUUAGCUUUCUUCACUGCCUGCUGUACCUGUAAGUCAACUUUCAGUGACCGGUGUACAAGGACGCCCAGGUCUCGCUGCAGCUCCCCCUUACCUAACCUAACCCCAUUGAGAUAAUAAUCUGCCCCCUUGUUUUUGCCACCAAAGUGGAUAACCUCACAUUUAUCUAUAUUAUGCUGCAUCUGCCACGCAUCUGCCCACUCACUCAAACUGUCCAGGUCACCCUGCAACCUCCUAACAUCCUCUUCACAGUUCACACUGCCACCCAGCUUUGUGUCAUCCGCAAACUUGCUAGUGUUGCUCCUAAUUCCCUCUUCCAAAUAAUUAAUAUAUAUGGUAAAC